CAUGUAAUAAGACAGCGUUUGCUUUUAAAACUCAGUUCUUUAAUAUUCAAUUAUUUAGAGAAUAACCAAGUGUCAUUAGCUCAAUUGGUAAAAACUCUACGCGAAGCUUAGAGGUCGGUUCGAGUGACGUUUGAGACGAAACUAAAUAUUACAUGCUGUAGUUUCGGGCCUGGGGGAAUUACGCGCUUCAGCCCAGAACCUCCUGAUAUUCAAAAAAAAA
rnacentral:sRNA from 1 species